UCAUUGGGCGGCAAAACAAACUUUGGGCGGCCAGAUCUGGAUUCAAUUUUUGAAUCCCUUUACUCAUCCCCAUCCAAGACACUUUUAUUAUACGCCAGAAGAUCUGUUCCUAUUGUUUCUUCUUUCCAGAGAAACCCUAAAACACAAACCUCACAACCAUCUCCAAAAAGAUACCGAUGAACUCAUUCACCAUCUCCACAACCCUAAACCAUAUUCCCCCUUUCUUCAAGGCCUUGUUUCCGAACCCCACGCUUCGAAUCGAGACCUGGAGUCUGAUAUUCAAGAGCUUGAUGACAACGAAGAAGAUGAUGAUGAGAACCGGAAGUCGCAACUAUCUAAACCGGAAGAUCACAACAAUGAGGAGUGGGAUAUUCGAACUUCUGUUGGUAUAGAUUGCACUCUUGAUAACGAGAACUCAUAUCACCAGAUCCGGUUUCAGUGACACUCUUUUCGUUUUUGGGAGUAAAGAACAAGCAGAUCCGGUAUCCUAUAUGUUUGUAGAACUCAUAUCACCCCUGAUGAAGAUCUAGGAACUACAAAUCACUGCAGAACUUGAUUUCGUUUUCCUGUUGGAGCACCAUUACGUGGGAUUAACUACAAAUCAGCUUAAGACAUAUGAUAAGUCCAGUGGUGAGGGCCCAGAUGGAGCAACGAAACAAAUACAGAACCUGGAUAACGAGCUUUAUUUGGAGGUCGGUGAUCUGGAUACGUAUUCUAUAAAUUAUGAUAGAAGUGGGACACCAAAGUGUUGUGAUCAUCCAUAUCUUGUGGAGCAUACAUUGAGAAAUUCUUCAAAAAAAGCUUUAUUGAUUGAUGAUCUACUGGCUGCUGAAAUCAGUAUCAGUGGCAAACUGCAAGUUCUCGACAAGUUGCUACUAGCGAUUAAAGGAUGCGAGUUAAGAGCACUUGUACUGUUUCAGAUGAUCUCUACCAUUGGGGCUGUUGUACAUGGGAGGUUUCUAUGUAUUAUUGACUCCAAUUUGUAUUGUUUCAAUGGCAAAUAAAAGGGAGUUAACUGAUAGUCUUGAAGGAUUGGCUUUCUUAUUGUUUGAUCAGUGCUUUAAUAUGUUUAAAAAACGCUCCAUACAUACAAAGAAGGCCUCUUGUAACGCCCACCCCCCAGGGUGGUUGCUUUUCAACUGGAGUGAACAUGUAAUUGAUGAAAUUUAUGUAAAGAUGAUGAAGUUAAAGUAGCCAAUGCUGAUGUAAUAGAGUAUAGACGCGCCGAUUUGUAAGGCGGGAUCACUAGAUCCUAAAAAGGCAAACGGGAAAAUAUUAGUGCGUCUUCGGGGAGAUAAUGACCGGGUUGACAAAGAUCAAGAAGCAGCUUUGGCUGGGGUAGUUGGAAUGAUUCUUUCUAAUAAUGAUGCUUCUGGGAACGAGAUUAUCACAGAGAUUCUCAUCAUUUAAGGGACCUAACACUAACAUCAUCACCCAAGAGAUUCUCAAGGUUCUUAUUACAUAACUAUGUAGUGUUAAUACUGCAGAAAACAAAUUGAGUUUCUGAAAUUUCAUGAAAAAGUCUCUCUACCUUUUUAUGCUCUCAAUUUGCUAAGAUUCAACUACUUAAAAGUUAAACCUCAUUUUUGUCAUGAUAUACACGUAAUAUAUGCCGAUGGAGCACCAAGAUCCAAAAGGAAGACCGAACGAGUUGAAAGACACAGGAUGCGAAACGACUUGGUGUUUAACAGGAAGUUGCCCCCAUUACCUAAUGUUGUUGAAGGUAUUACAACUUUGUGGCUCCUGCGGAUUAAAAAUCAAGCUAAAGAGUUUUCUAUUACCUCGAGGCAAAGGAGAGCGUUCAAUGUUUUAAAUGUUUAGAACGACAUCCUGAGGUGGUUUGGUCCGGUUUGUUUCAUUGUUUCUGUUGGUGGCUUUGUGUAUUGCCUAACAUCCUGUUAGGCCUAUGUACAAUUUUGUUCUCAUAAAAUAUUUUUGAGUUGGUCGAUUAAAAAAAGGUGCCACCCAUGUUGCUUUGAAUGUGGUUAAAUACUUCAUGGCAAUAGAAUACUUUCAGCUCUAAGCUAUUUAGGGGGUGUUUAGAUAUGUUUUUGAAAGUAAUUACUUUAUAGAUAGUAAUUUCUGUCUAAAUGAAAAUGAACCAUCAUUGUUCAGUAGUUUC